AAAUAGCGCAAAAUUUUAAGGUUGCAUCGGUUGCUAGUGGCUGCUGAGCUGCUAGACAAGGACAGCAGCACUGACGCUUCCUAAUACGACGACACUAAAUUGUUUUUCGAAAUAUAGAGUGCGUCGAGUGUUGCCGCCACGGCUAAAAACAUGAACAUUCACAUUCCACACUAUGCAACACUGUGGUCACUCGUUACAUUAUUAUUUAGUGACGCUCUCUCAGACACACAUACUAACGCAUGCCGCCUAUAGCAAUUGCUCGAACACUUGCUUAAGCACCGCACUGUGACAACGGUCUCUGUCCGUGAGCAAGCGUGCGCUCUUGCUCUUCGUCGAGUACGCUUACUCGUCGCUGUCGCACUAGCUGGCGUUACUGGUAGUCGUCGUCUGACACUAACACACAACGCAGAGUCACAGUCAUUUCAGCUUCGGUCUUUCUUUCUAGUUCUGUUGCUACUCGUUCGCGAAAUCAGUUGACUUUCUGCUGCAACACAAGCGGACUGAAAAUUUUUGUUUAAGUGUUGCAAAAAAAUUUGUUAAAAUUUUCUUAAAUCAACGAAAAAUGUGAAAAUUUUUAGAUUUUUACAGUUAUGUGCAAUGUUGAAUACAGCGAAUGUAAACACGAUAACAACAACAGCAUCAGUCACUCAAAACAAAAAAGAAAAGAAAAGAAAAGUGCCGAAAU